rnacentral:rRNA from 1 species
GCCCUUUUCCGGUUGAUCCUGCCGGAGGCCAUUGCUAUGGGGAUCCGAUUUAGCCAUGCUAGUCGCACGAGUUUAGACUCGUGGCGGAAAGCUCAGUAACACGUGGCCAAACUACCCUCUGGACGAGCAUACUCUCGGGAAACUGAGGCUAAUACUCGAUACCGUUCCGCUGCUGGAACUGCACGGAACCGUAAACGCUCCGGCGCCAGAGGCUGUGGCUGCGGCCGAUUAGGUAGACGGUGGGGUAACGGCCCACCGUGCCAGUAAUCGGUACGGGUUGUGAGAGCAAGAGCCCGGAGACGGUAUCUGAGACAAGAUACCGGGCCCUACGGGGCGCAGCAGGCGCGAAACCUUUACACUGCACGACAGUGCGAUAAGGGGAUCCCCAGUGCGAGGGCAUAUAGUCCUCGCUUUUCAUCACCGUAGGGAGGUGAUGGAACAAGAGCUGGGCAAGACCGGUGCCAGCCGCCGCGGUAAUACCGGCAGCUCAAGUGAUGGCCGCGUUUAUUGGGCCUAAAGCGUCCGUAGCCUGCCAGGUAAGUUUAUCGGGAAAUCUACAUGCCCAACAUGUAGGCGGCCGGUGAAACCUGCCUGGCUCGGGACUGGACGGCUCGAGGGGUACGACCGGGGUAGGAGUGAAAUCCUAUAAUCCUGGUCGGACCACCGGUGGCGAAAGCGCCUCGAGAGGACAGAUCCGACGGUGAGGGACGAAAGCCAAGGUCACGAACCGGAUUAGAUACCCGGGUAGUCUUGGCCGUAAACGAUGCCCGUUAGGCGUGGCACAGGCUACGAGCCUGUGCUGUGCCGCA